CCAGUAGUCAUAUGCUUGUCUCAAAGAUUAAGCCAUGCAUGUCUAAGUCCAAGCUGUGUUCACACGGCGAGACCGCGGACGGCUCAUUAAAUCAGUCGUGGUCCAAAUGGGCCAGUGCAAAUCCUACUUGGAUAACUGUGGUAAUUCCAGAGCUAAUACAUGCAACUGAUAUCCCGAAGGCGGUGUUUGGGCUUGCUUGCCUUGCGCUGCGCUGCUCUGACGGAUGCUUUUAUUAGACCAAGCCGCUGAGGACUUGAGGGUUCGCGCUCUCUUGUCUGACUCGUGUGAUGGUGACUCUGGAUAACCAAAUUCUGACAAGCGCACGUACUUCUCUUCUGAGCGAGACGGCGCUGCCACUUUCGAGUGUCUGCCUUAUCAGCUAUCAACCGUUCGUUAUGCGCGACCGAUGGCUUUGACGGGUAACGGGGAAUCAGGGUUCGAUUCCGGAGAGGCAGCCUGAGAGACGGCUACCACGUCCAAGGACGGCAGCAGGCACGCAAAUUACCCAAUCCCAGCAAAUGGGGGAGGUAGUGACGAAAUCUAACGAUGCGGGCGCCCUUUCUGGGGCCCCGCAAUCGGAAUGGGCACUUUCUAAACAACCUGUUGAGAACCU
rnacentral:rRNA from 1 species